rnacentral:rRNA from 1 species
AUUGAACGCUGGCGGCAGGCCUAACACAUGCAAGUCGAGCGAGCGGCGGACGGGUGAGUAAUGUAUGGGGAUCUGCCUGAUGGAGGGGGAUAACUACUGGAAACGGUAGCUAAUACCGCAUACCAUCGGAUGUACCCAUAUGGGAUUAGCUUGUAGGUGGGGUAAAGGCUCACCUAGGCGACGAUCCCUAGCUGGUCUGAGAGGAUGAUCAGCAAAACUGGGACGGAGACACGGUCCAGAGUCCUACGGGAGGCAGCAGUGGGGAAUAUUGCACAAUGGGCGAAAGCCUGAUGCAGCCAGGCCGCGUGUAUGAAGAAGGCCUUCGGGUUGUAAAGUACUUUCAGUGGGGAGGCGUUACCCGCAGAAGAAGCACCGGCUAACUCCGUGCCAGCAGCCGCGGUAAUUC